GGAUGUGAGGGCUGUCUGGCUGUGACAUCUGUCACCCCAUUGAUCGCCAAGGUUGAUUCAGCUGAUCUGGCUGGCUAGGCAGGUGUCCUUUUCCUCCCUCACUGCUCCAUGUGUGUCCCUCCCGAAGCUGCACACUCGGUGGAAGAGGACGAUCAUCCCAGACAGAAGGAGUGUAGUGUUCUUCAAUCAAGGGUAUAUGAUAGCUGCACUCCCCUCCUAGAACCUCCAAACAAGCUCCAUUUGUAGGAGAACAUGGGGUAGUCAAGCUUCCAAGACUCCAGACACAUCCAAGUAAGGCGCUGUAUGUGGCAGUUUGCCAUUAAAU